ensembl:lncRNA
AGAGGAAAAGAGAAAAAGAUUCAGGUUUCCAUGAGGGACAAGUUCUGCCUCCAGACUGCUUUCAGAUGAGAUGGGAACAUCUUCCCUUACCUAACUCUCCAGCCUUUACCAGCUUUACCGGAUUCUUUACCAGCUGAGCCACAAGGGAAGCCCACCUAACUCUCCAGCCUGCUGCAGAUUUCAGACUUGCCAGCAUCCCCCACCCCAGUCACCUGAAUCAGUCCAUUAGGGAACCAACAUUGGGUUUGCUCGCCCCGGGCACCGGAAAGCCAACCCAUUGACACCAGUUUGCGGUGAAGGAAAAGUGCAGCAUUUAUCUCAGGGUGCCAAGCAAGGAGUCCAGAGCAGCUAAUGCUUAAGAGGCCCAACUCCCCAAAGGCCUUCAGGCUUCUCCCACGGAUUCUCUGCCUCUCAGAACACUGACUGAUGCAGUGACGCACAAGGCAUGGCUACUGGAUCUGCCAUCCUCCCCUCUCCCAACCUCACCAGCUGCCAGAGUUGGACACAAAGGGACAACGGCUGCUGAGUCCCAGGCGGCACCCGGAGACUCCCGCCUCUAAGUUUCUGCUGCAAACAGCUGGGGAAGCUGCUGCUACCUAUACCAACGGCCUAGCCACAGGUGCCUUCAUAUCUCCUCUUGCAAGGACCCCGUGGGGCGGGAGCCCACACAUCAUGCCUCCCAAGUCCUCUGGACCAUUUGUGGGAAAGAAGCUCCCUCUCCCUCUUGCUCUCUCUGUCUGUCUUCCUCCCCUCUCUGAUGGCUGCCGUCUUUGGCUUGAGUUGGACCUGGGGUAGAGGUUCUCCAUGGCAGGUACUGUGGCAGGUAAGACUCUUCCACUGUGUCCAAUACAGUCUUGCCGGCUGCCCAUCACUGCACAUUUGGCCCCACACCCGAAAUCCCCAAAGAGCUUGCUGUUGCAGCCAUUUGGAUGACAUAUAAUAAGGUCUUUUAGUGAUAAGUACAGGAGUCUCCAAAGAAUUUUUUUGCUGGGACAUAAAGCUCUGCUCCUUUUUCUUUUUUUUUUUUUUGUACAUUGAAACGCGUGUCAUUUCCCCAGAAUGCCGCUGUCUUCUGGGAACAGACACAGAGGCCCAUUGUCUACACUGCCAAUUAGGAGCCAGGAUUGACCCCAACACACAAAGGCCCGGCUGUGCCCAGUGGCUAAAGGAAGUGUGCUGAUUCUUCUGACACGGGUCUCUGGACAGAGGAGCCUGGGCUAGUCAUUGAUGGGGUUCUGGGGAGUCGUUCACUCCUGCUCGGCUAAGCUGGUGGGGGGGUCAGGAGCGUUGGGUUGUAGGGCUCCAUACUGGUCCCCAGGGCAGCAUCCAGUGGGCUUUCCAAGGGCACGUCAGCCCUGAGGUCAGGCAGCAUCUCCUCCAUGCAUAGCUGGAGAAGGAAGUCAGAUCGCCAAGAGGCAGCAGGAAAACUGAGGCUGCCCAAGGCUUCACCUGCUUUAACAGUGAAGACUCAUGGAAAUAAGAUUUUCCUCCAGUAAAUGCAGCAGCCACUGACAUCUGUUCUUCAGGGAGCCUACAAGCCACAGCUACUGAGCCCAUGUGCCCAGAGUCCGUGAUCCAUAACAAGAGAAG